GACGAACGCUGGCGGCGUGCCUAAUACAUGCAAGUCGAGCGGACCGGAUUGGGGCUUGCCUUGAUUCGGUCAGCGGCGGACGGGUGAGUCACACGUGGGCAACCUGCCCGCAAGACCGGGGUACCUCCGGGAAACCGGAGCUAAUACCGGAUAACACCGAAGACCGCAUGGUCUUUGGUUGAAAGGGGGCCCUUGGGCUGUCACUUGCGGAUGGGUCGGCGGUGCGUUUGCUAGGUGGGGAGGUAACGGCUCACCAAGGGGGAGAUGGGUAGCCGGGCUGGAGAGGAGGCUGGGUCAACUGGGAAUUGAGACCGGGUCAAGCUCCCUCCGGGAGGAAGAAGAGGGGAACAUUCGCCAAUGGGCGAAAGCCUGCGCCACGCCGCCGCGGGGGGGGAAGAAGGCUUUCGGACGGUAAAGUCUGUUAAGAGGGGCGAAAGAGCAGCGAGCUAAGAGCGCGGCGCUGUGACGGUACCACACGAGAAAGCCCCGGCUAACUACGUG
rnacentral:rRNA from 1 species